UUGUUGGAACGCGCUUCGGCGCACCUCCAGACAACCCUUUGUGAACUUAUACCUAUACUGUUGCCUCGGCGUCAGGCUGGCUCCCCUCGGGGGGUCCCUCACCAUCUCGGUGAGGAGCAGGCCCGCCGGCGGCCAAGUUAACUCUUGUUUUUACACUGAAACUCUGAGAAUAAAACAAAAAUGAAUCAAAACUUUCAACAACGGAUCUCUUGGUUCUGGCAUCGAUGAAGAACGCAGCGAAAUGCGAUAAGUAAUGUGAAUUGCAGAAUUCAGUGAAUCAUCGAAUCUUUGAACGCACAUUGCGCCCUCUGGUAUUCCGGAGGGCAUGCCUGUUCGAGCGUCAUUUCAACCCUCAAGCCUGGCUUGGUGAUGGGACACUGCCUUUGAGAAAAGGCAGGUCCUGAAAUUCAGUGGCGAGCUCGCCAGGACCCCGAGCGCAGUAGUUAAACCCUCGCUUUGGAAGGUCUUGGUGCGGCCCUGCCGUUAAACCCCCAACUUCUGAAAAUUUGACCUCGGAUCAGGUAGGAAUACCCGCUGAACUUAAGCAUAUCAAUAGGCCGGAGGAA
rnacentral:rRNA from 1 species